rnacentral:rRNA from 1 species
UCGGGAAUUUUGCACAAUGGACGAAAGUCUGAUGCAGCGACGCCGUGUGAACGAUGAAGUCCUUCGGGAUGUAAAGUUCUGUCAGCAGGGACGAUUAUGACGGUACCUGCAGAGGAAGCUCCGGCUAACUAUGUGCCAGCAGCCGCGGUAAUACAUAGGGAGCGAGCGUUAUCCGGAUUUAUUGGGCGUAAAGCGCGUGUAGGCGGUUUUAUAAGUUAGGUGUUAAAGCCAUCGGCUCAACCGAUGACCGCACUUAAGACUGUAAGGCUAGAGUUUGGGAGAGGGAAGGGGAACUAACAGUGUAGCGGUGAAAUGCGUAGAUAUUGUUAGGAACACCAGUGGCGAAGGCGCCUUCCUGGACCAAAACUGACGCUAAAAGGCGAAAGCGUGGGGAGCAAACAGG